rnacentral:rRNA from 1 species
UACGUAGGGUGCAAGCGUUGUCCGGAAUUAUUGGGCGUAAAGAGCUCGUAGGCGGUUUGUUGCGUCGGCUGUGAAAUCCCGAGGCUCAACCUCGGGUCUGCAGUCGAUACGAGCAAACUAGAGUGUUGCAGGGGAGACUGGAAUUCCUGGUGAUAGCGGUGAAAUGCGCAGAUAUCAGGAGGAACACCGGUGGCGAAGGCGGGUCUCUGGGCCGAUACUGACGUGGAGGAGCGAAAGCGUGGGGAGCGAACAGG